GAUGAACGCUCGCUACAGGCUUAACACAUGCAAGUCGCGGGGCAGCAUGGGGGUUGCUUGCAAUCCCCGAUGGCGACCGGCGCACGGGUGAGUAACGCGUAUCCAACCUGCCCUUCACCACGGGAUAACCCGGCGAAAGUCGGACUAAUACCGUAUGUUGUCCAUUGACGGCAUCCGAUUUGGACGAAAGGUUUGGCGGUGAAGGAUGGGGAUGCGUCCGAUUAGCUGGACGGCGGGGUGACGGCCCACCGUGGCGACGAUCGGUAGGGGUUCUGAGAGGAAGGUCCCCCACACUGGAACUGAGACACGGUCCAGACUCCUACGGGAGGCAGCAGUGAGGAAUAUUGGUCAAUGGGCGUAAGCCUGAACCAGCCAAGUAGCGUGCAGGAUGACGGCCCUAUGGGUUGUAAACUGCUUUUAUGCGGGGAUAAAGUGGCCCACGUGUGGGUUUUUGCAGGUACCGCAGGAAUAAGGACCGGCUAAUUCCGU
rnacentral:rRNA from 1 species